UUGAACGCUGGCGGAAUGCUUUACACAUGCAAGUCGAGCGGCAGCGCGGGGCAACCUGGCGGCGAGCGGCGAACGGGUGAGUAAUGCAUCGGAACAUGUCCAUUCGUGGGGGAUAGCCCGGCGAAAGCCGGAUUAAUACCGCAUACGCCCGAGAGGGGAAAGUGGGGGACCGCAAGGCCUCACGCGAUUGGGUUGGCCGAUGUCCGAUUAGCUAGUUGGUGGGGUAAAGGCCUACCAAGGCGAUGAUCGGUAGCUGGUCUGAGAGGAUGAUCAGCCACACUGGGACCGAGACACGGCCCAGACUCCUACGGGAGGCAGCAGUGGGGAAUUUUGGACAAUGGGGGAAACCCUGAUCCAGCCAUUCCGCGUGAGUGAAGAAGGCCUUCGGGUUGUAAAGCUCUUUUGUCCGGAACGAAACGGUUACGGCUAAUACCUGUGACUACUGACGGUACCGGAAGAAUAAGCACCGGCUAACUACGUGCCAGCAGCCGCGGUAAUACGUAGGGUGCGAGCGUUAAUCGGAAUUACUGGGCGUAAAGCGUGCGCAGGCGGUUUUGUAAGCCAGAUGUGAAAUCCCCGGGCUUAACCUGGGAAUGGCAUUUGGGACUGCAAGGCUUGAGUGCGGCAGAGGAGACUGGAAUUCCUGGUGUAGCAGUGAAAUGCGUAGAUAUCAGGAGGAACACCGAUGGCGAAGGCAGGCUUCUGGGGAUUUACUGACGCUCAUGCACGAAAGCAGUGGGGAGCAAACCGGAUUAGAUACCCUGGUAGUCCAUGCCCUAAACGAUGGAUGCUAGAUUGGAGGUUUGACCCCUUCAGUGUCCCGAAGCUAACGCAGUGAAGUCGACCGCCUGGGGAGUACGGCCGCAAGGCUAAAACUCAAAGGAAUUGACGGGGACCCUGCACAAGCAGGUGGAUCGUGUGGAUUAAUUCGUUAGCAAAGCGAAGAACCUCACCUACCUUGACAUGUGACUGCAAGCUUCUGGAAACAGAGGCCGCCUUCGAGGGUGUCACACAGAUGCUGCAUGGCUGUCGUCAGCUCGUGUCGUGAGAUGUUGGGUUAAGUCCCGUAACGAGCGCAACCCCUACGUUCAGUUGUAUCACUCUGGACGAACUGCCUCCAUACAAGGAGGAGGAAGGCGGGGAUGACGUCAAGUCAGCAUAGCUCUUACACCUAGGGCUACACACACCCUACAAUGGGGUAGACAACAGGAUGCGAAGGAGUAAUCCGGAGCCAAUCCCUCAAACUACCCCUCAGUUCAGAUUGGGGGCUGCAACCCGCCCCCAUGAAGUCGGAAUUGCUAGUAAUCGCAGAUCAGCAGGCUGCGGUGAAUACGUUCUCAGGUCUUGUACACACCACCCGUCAAGCCAACAAAGUUGGGGGCACCCGAAGUCAGUUGUCUAACUCGCAAGAGGGGACGCUGCCGAAGGUGAACUCAGCGAUGGGGAC
rnacentral:rRNA from 1 species